UACGGAGGGUGCUAGCGUUGUUCGGAAUCACUGGGCGUAAAGCGCGUGUAGGCGGUCCGUUAAGUCUGAUGUGAAAGCCCGGGGCUCACCCCCCGGAAGUGCAUUGGAAACUGACGAACUCGAGUCCCGGAGAGGUGAGUGGAAUUCCCAGUGUAGCGGUGAAAUGCGUAGAUAUUGGGAGGAACACCAGUGGCGAAGGCGGCUCACUGGACCGAUACUGACGCUGAUGCGCGAAAGCGUGGGGAGCAAACGGG
rnacentral:rRNA from 1 species